CAGCCGCCGCGGUAAUACGUAGGUGGCAAGCGUUGUCCGGAAUUAUUGGGCGUAAAGGGCUCGCAGGCGGUUUCUUAAGUCUGAUGUGAAAGCCCCCGGCUCAACCGGGGAGGGUCAUUGGAAACUGGGAAACUUGAGUGCAGAAGAGGAGAGUGGAAUUCCACGUGUAGCGGUGAAAUGCGUAGAGAUGUGGAGGAACACCAGUGGCGAAGGCGACUCUCUGGUCUGUAACUGACGCUGAGGAGCGGAAGCGUGGGGAGCGAACAGGAUUAGAGACCCCUGUAGUCCCUGUCUCUUAUAC
rnacentral:rRNA from 1 species